rnacentral:piRNA from 1 species
UGCAGGUCUCAGCCAACCAGCUCCCAGU